AAAGGAAUAGACGGGGGCCCGCACAAGCGGUGGAGCAUGUGGUUUAAUUCGAAGCUACGCGAAGAACCUUACCAGGUCUUGACAUCUUCUGCAAUCUGUAGAGAUACAGGGUUCCCUUCGGGGACAGAAUGACAGGUGGUGCAUGGUUGUCGUCAGCUCGUGUCGUGAGAUGUUGGGUUAAGUCCCGCAACGAGCGCAACCCUUAUUACUAGUUGCCAGCAUUAAGUUGGGCACUCUAGUGAGACUGCCGGUGACAAACCGGAGGAAGGUGGGGACGACGUCAAAUCAUCAUGCCCCUUAUGACCUGGGCUACACACGUGCUACAAUGGAUGGUACAACGAGAAGCGAACUCGCGAGGGCAAGCAGAUCUCUUAAAACCAUUCUCAGUUCGGAUUGUAGUCUGCAACUCGACUACAUGAAGCUGGAAUCGCUAGUAAUCGUGGAUCAGCAUGCCACGGUGAAUACGUUCCCGGGCCUUGUACACACCGCCCGU
rnacentral:rRNA from 1 species